GCCACGACUGGCCACUUUCCUGCCUUCUAAGCAGUCGGUCGAUGGUUCGAAUCCAUCAGGGGGCG
rnacentral:tRNA from 1 species